rnacentral:rRNA from 1 species
GGUUAAGUGACUAAGCGUACACGGUGGAUGCCUAGGCAGUCAGAGGCGAUGAAGGGCGUGCUAAUCUGCGAAAAGCGUCGGUAAGGUGAUAUGAACCGUUAUAACCGGCGAUACCCGAAUGGGGAAACCCAGUGUGUUUCGACACAUUAUCAUGUCAUGAAUACAUAGUGGCAUGAGGCGAACCGGGGGAACUGAAACAUCUAAGUACCCCGAGGAAAAGAAAUCAACCGAGAUUCCCCCAGUAGCGGCGAGCGAACGGGGAGGAGCCCAGAACCUGAAUCGGCUUGUGUGUUAGUGGAAGCGUCUGGAAAGUCGCGCAGCAAAGGGUGAUAGCCCCGUACACUAAAAUGCACAGGUCGUGAGUUCGAUGAGUAGGGCGGGACACGUGACAUCCUGUCUGAAUAUGGGGGGACCAUCCUCCAAGGCUAAAUACUCCUGACUGACCGAUAGUGAACCAGUACCGUGAGGGAAAGGCGAAAAGAACCCCGGCGAGGGGAGUGAAAUAGAACCUGAAACCGUGUACGUACAAGCAGUGGGAGCACCUUCGUGGUGUGACUGCGUACCUUUUGUAUAAUGGGUCAGCGACUUAUAUUUUGUAGCAAGGUUAACCGUAUAGGGGAGCCGUAGGGAAACCGAGUCUUAACUGGGCGAAUAGUUGCAAGGUAUAGACCCGAAACCCGGUGAUCUAGCCAUGGGCAGGUUGAAGGUUGGGUAACACUAACUGGAGGACCGAACCGACUAAUGUUGAAAAAUUAGCGGAUGACUUGUGGCUGGGGGUGAAAGGCCAAUCAAACCGGGAGAUAGCUGGUUCUCCCCGAAAGCUAUUUAGGUAGCGCCUCGUGAACUCAUCUUCGGGGGUAGAGCACUGUUUCGGCUAGGGGGCCAUCCCGGCUUACCAAACCGAUGCAAACUCCGAAUACCGAAGAAUGUUAUCACGGGAGACACACGGCGGGUGCUAACGUCCGUCGUGAAGAGGGAAACAACCCAGACCGCCAGCUAAGGUCCCAAAGUCAUGGUUAAGUGGGAAACGAUGUGGGAAGGCAUAGACAGCCAGGAUGUUGGCUUAGAAGCAGCCAUCAUUUAAAGAAAGCGUAAUAGCUCACUGGUCGAGUCGGCCUGCGCGGAAGAUGUAACGGGGCUAAACCAUGCACCGAAGCUGCGGCAGCGACGCUUAGGCGUUGUUGGGUAGGGGAGCGUUCUGUAAGCCGUUGAAGGUGGCCUGUGAGGGUUGCUGGAGGUAUCAGAAGUGCGAAUGCUGACAUAAGUAACGAUAAAGCGGGUGAAAAGCCCGCUCGCCGGAAGACCAAGGGUUCCUGUCCAACGUUAAUCGGGGCAGGGUGAGUCGACCCCUAAGGCGAGGCUGAAAAGCGUAGUCGAUGGGAAACAGGUUAAUAUUCCUGUACUUGGUGUUACUGCGAAGGGGGGACGGAGAAGGCUAGGCUAGCCGGGCGACGGUUGUCCCGGUUUAAGCGUGUAGGGGGUGUGACCUGGUAAAUCCGGUUGCAU